GAUGAACGCUGGCGGCGUGCCUAAUACAUGCAAGUAGAACGCUGAAGGAGGAGCUUGCUCUUCUGGAUGAGUUGCGAACGGGUGAGUAACGCGUAGGUAACCUGCCUGGUAGCGGGGGAUAACUAUUGGAAACGAUAGCUAAUACCGCAUGACAACAGUUAUUGCAUGAUAACUGUUUAAAAGGGGCAACUGCUCCACUACCAGAUGGACCUGCGUUGUAUUAGCUAGUUGGUGAGGUAACGGCUCACCAAGGCGACGAUACAUAGCCGACCUGCGAGGGUGAGCAGCCACGCUGGGACUGAGACACGACCCAGACUCCUACGAGAGGCAGCAGUAGGGAAUCUUCGGCAACGGACGGAAGUCUGACCAAGAAACGACGCGUGAGAGAAGAAGGUUGUCGGAUCGUAAAGCUCGGUUGUAAGAGAAGAACGAGUGUGAGAGUGGAAAGUGAACACUGUGACGGUAACUUACCAGAAAGGGACGGCUAACUACGUG
rnacentral:rRNA from 1 species